AUGCGGAUCAAGAAAAAUGUCCCCAAGAUCGACAGGAAGCGAGACUACGACAUGAAGCUUUGUAAGUUGCUGAAUGAGUACUCCAGUGUGCUCAUAGUGGAGGCAGACCACGUCGGCUCCACCCAGCUCGCGGCCGUCCGUAGGGGCAUCCGCGGCGAGUCGGAGCUGCUCAUGGGGAAGAACACCCUCAUCCGCCGCUGCAUCAAGGUGCACGCCGAGGCAACGGGCAACGACAAGAUCAAGGCUAUCAUACCGCUACUCGAAGGAAACGUCGGUCUCAUCUUCACCAAGGCUGACCUCAAGAAGGUUCGCGAGGAGGUCGCCAUGUACAAGGUUGGGGCCCCUGCUCGUGUUGGGCUGGUUGCUCCUAUUGAUGUGGUGGUUCCCCCUGGCAACACUGGUCUGGAUCCCUCCCAAACUUCUUUCUUCCAGGUGCUUAACAUCCCCACCAAGAUCAAUAAGGGCACUGUUGAAAUCCUGGCCCCGGUGGACCUCAUCAAGAAGGGUGACAAGGUGGGCUCGUCCGAGGCUGCCCUGCUUGCCAAGCUCGGUAUCCGCCCAUUCUCCUAUGGCCUUGUGAUCACAAAUAUUUAUGAAAAUGGGUUAGUCUUCAGCCCUGAGGUUCUUGACCUCACGGACGAAGACCUGACUGAGAAGUUCUCUUCUAGUAUUUGUAUGGUUGCGUCAUUGUCUUUGGCACUCUCGUACCCAACCAUGGCUGCUGCAGCUCAUAUGUUCGUCAAUGGGUACAAAAAUGUGCUUGCUAUUGCUACUGAGACAAAUUACUCCUACCCUCAUGCUGAUCAGAUCAAGGAGUACCUCAAGGAUAAUGCAGAAACAUGUGCUGAACCCGGUGCCACAAAGACAGGACUAUCAGAGUUGCCGUUGGAUGUGAUAGAGAAGCUGCUGAAUAAUAUUUCUUGCCGUGGUGAUUGGGCUCGCCUUCGUUGUGCGAACAAGUUUUGGAAGGCAAAGGUAGAUGGUGCAAAAAGGCCCAUGCAGCUGCCAUGGCUUAUAUUGCCAUCAACCACGAAACCUACCUAUUACAGCACUGAUGGACAAGCCGUACACCGACUUCGCCUCCCGGACAGUGUCAGGAGAGCUAAAUGA
rnacentral:rRNA from 1 species